AGCGAACGCUGGCGGCAGGCUUAACACAUGCAAGUCGAACGCAUCCUUCGGGGUGAGUGGCAGACGGGUGAGUAACACGUGGGAACGUACCCUUUGGUUCGGAAUAACUCAGGGAAACUUGAGCUAAUACCGGAUACGCCCUUUUGGGGAAAGGUUUACUGCCGAAGGAUCGGCCCGCGUCUGAUUAGCUUGUUGGUGGGGUAACGGCCUACCAAGGCGACGAUCAGUAGCUGGUCUGAGAGGAUGAUCAGCCACACUGGGACUGAGACACGGCCCAGACUCCUACGGGAGGCAGCAGUGGGGAAUAUUGGACAAUGGGCGCAAGCCUGAUCCAGCCAUGCCGCGUGAGUGAUGAAGGCCUUAGGGUUGUAAAGCUCUUUUGUCCGGGACGAUAAUGACGGUACCGGAAGAAUAAGCCCCGGCUAACUUCGUGCCAGCCGCCGCCGUAAUAC
rnacentral:rRNA from 1 species